AUACUUACCUGGAUGGGGUCUAUGAGUGAUCAUGAAGGCUCAUGGCCUAGGUUGGUGACCUCCAUUGCACUUUGGAGGGGUGCCUAUCUAAGGUGUUCUCAAGUAGAACAGUCUACAUCAUAAUUUGUUGCUGAGGGGGCCUGCGUUCGCGCGGCCCCUGC
rfam:Medicago truncatula strain A17 chromosome 4, whole genome shotgun sequence.